CCAGUUGUCAUUUAGACUGCUGCUUGUGCUGUGAAAAAUUUCUCAAGUUCACUGUGUCCUUAUAUGACUGUCUCAAUGUCUAAAGCAGGAUAUGGAGAUGGCAGAACCUGAGUCACGUGCUGGUGUCUUCUUUGUAAGGCUUCCCAAAAGCGUGCCCUGCCCCUAUCUCCUCUGGGAUUUUCCCACAAUAGAAAAGGGGUUUGGAUGCUGGAGAGUCAAAAUGGAAGACUUCAUAGAGCACCUGUUUGCCCUUGCAGAUACCCAGCGUUUGCCCACACUUCGCAUCCCAGCCAAGUGACUGCUGCUGUUCUUCACUCUCCAAGACAAGAUCUGGGCAGGAUGAGGCCUCUGUGUUCUCUGAGACAAAACAGUGUGGAAAUUAAACCAAAUAAUACCCUACAAUGGCCUCUAACUGAAAGGAAGAGUCACAUGUCUCUUACUUUAAAUCAAAAGCCAGAGAAAUAAUUAAGCUUAGUGAGGAAGAAAUGCCAAAAGCCAACAUAAGCUGAAAGCUAGGCCUCUUGCAUCAAAUAGUUCGCAAAGAUGUGAAUGCAAAGGAAAAGUUCUUGAAAGAAAUUAAACGUACUACUCCAAAGAACACAUCAAUGAUAACAAAACCAAACAGCCUUAUUGCUGACAUGGAGAAAGUUUGAAUGGUCCGGAUAGAUCAAACCAGCCAUAACAUUGCCUUAAGCCAAAGUCCAAUUUAGAGCAAGACCCUAACUCGCUUCAAUUCUGUGAAAGCUGGGAGAGGCGAGCAAGAUCCAGAAGAAAAGUUGGAAGCUAGCAGGGCUUUGUUCAUAACAUAAAAGUGCUAAAUGAAGUAGCAGGUGCUGAUGCAGAAGCUUCAGCAAGUUGUUCAGAUCUAACUGAGAUCCUCGAUGAAGCUGGCUACACUAAACCACAGAUUUUCAGUGUAAAUGAAACAUCUCUAUUGAAAAAAGAUUUUUGACUUUUAAGUCUUAUUAUUUAAGACAUACUUUUGUAAGGUUGUAGCUGCCAUAGAGAGUGAGUCCUCUGAUAGAUCUGGGCAAAGUCCAUUGAAAACCUUCUGGAAAAGACUCACCAUUCUAAAUGCUGUGAAGAACAACUAUGUGAUUCAUGAUAGGAGGUUACAAUAGCAAUUCCAACCUUCAUGGAAGGCUUCAGUGGAGGAAGUCAUUGCAGAUAUGGUGGAAACAGUAAGAGAAUUAGAAUUAGAAGUGGAACCUGAAGAUGUGACUGAAUUGCUAUAAUCUAAUGAUCAAACCUUAACAGAUACAAGUGCUUCUCACGUAUGAGCCAAGAAAUUGGUUUCUUGAGAUGGAAUCUACUCCUGGUGAAGAUGCUAUGAACAUUGUUGAAAUGACAACAAAGGAUUUAGAAUAUUAUAUCAACUUACUUGAUAAAGCAGCAGCAGGGUUGAGAGGAUUGACUCCAAUUUUGAAAGAAGUUCUACUGGGGAUAAAACGCCAUCAAAUAGCAUCACAUGCAACAGAGAAAUCUUUCAUGAAAAGGAGAGUCAAUUGAUGCAGUAAACUUCGUUGUUGUUUCAUUUUAAGGAAUUUUCAUAGCCACUCCAACUUUCCAACCUUCAGUAACCACCAACAUGAUCAGUCAGCAGAUUACAACUCGCUUAAGGCUCAGAUGAUCAUUAGUACUUUUUAGCAAUACAGUAUUUUAAAAUUAAGGAAUGUAUACUUUUUAGACAUAAUGUUAUUGCACACUUAGUAAAUUACAGUAUAGUAUAAACAUAACUUUCACAUAUACUGAGAAACCUAAAAAAUGUGUGUGGCUCACUUUAUUGCAGUGUCUAAACUAAAUUACCUGCAAUAUCCCGAGGUAUGCAUGUAAGUAAUUAAAAUCUUUAAUUAGACAGAAAGAAACUUACCAAGAAAACAGAAUCUAGAAAUGCUUUAUUGACUUAAAAUCAUCCUUUUCAUAGUAAAGUCAUAAACACUUAGGCAAGAAGGAGCUUAUGAUAUCAUUGAACUCAGUCUCUAUUUUACUGAUGAGGAUGUUGAAGUUCAUAGAUUGGAUUUGAUAAUUCGUCUAAGGUUACAUGUUUAAUUGGGAUGGGGGUGGAAGGGAUUCCAGAUUGCUCCAAAGCUGGUCUGCAAUCUAGCCUUGAUAUGUUCUAGUCCACAGCUCCAUAUGCUAAAGGAGAGGUUGUGCAUAUAAACAUUUAUGUACUUGUACUUUUGGCAAGUAAUAUCAUUCUUACUGAAAAUUUGAAACACCACAGAGGUAUCUAAAAUAAGGAUCAAAGCUCCUUUUGCCCACAGUAACUGCAGUUCUCUCCCAGAGAAAGCCAUUUUUACAGUUGGGUGUGUAUUCUUCCAAGCCUUUCCCCAUGCUUUCACAUACAAACAACAAUAACUGGUUUGAGUAGAAGCACUUUUCCAUAAAAAGUUCAUGAACACACAUUGUUCUUCUGCUUUCUUUUCAUACUUAAUGGUUGUUAUUGGGCAUAUUUCUGUGUCGGUAUUACAGCUCUAAUCCACUCUUCCAACUACUGCCUAGAUUAUACAUAUUUAAUUAUGUGUAAUGAAUAAAAGAGAAAACAAUAUUUACAUUAUCUG
ensembl:lncRNA